UUUCCGUAGGUGAACCUGCGGAAGGAUCAUUCAUAAUAAAGUGUUUUAUGGCACUUUUUAAAAAUCCAUAUCCACCUUGUGUGCAAUGUUAGAUCUCGUCAAUCUUGGCGAGAUUUUUAUACAUCAACUCAUUCUUUAACUAAUUUGUCUGAAAAAUUUUAUGAAUACUUAAUUCAAAAUACAACUUUCAACAACGGAUCUCUUGGCUCUC
rnacentral:misc_RNA from 1 species